ACACUCCUGGGCACCACCACCACUCACUCGUCUCCAGUCACAACCGAGACUGAGAGAGCCCCACCUUGGUCCCAGAGUGGUCAAGACACCAGUACUAUAAUUAUCUCUCAUAUUAUGCUGAGGGACUGACAGCCUCAAAUUUACGACUUCAAGGGUGAUGGACUGAUUACAUCGUCUUCACAUCUCACACCUCUACUGCUCCUGCCUACUUUCUGUAUCCGACUGAAGAAGCCUACUGUGUAGGCGAAACGUUUCGGAAUAAAGUUGCCUAAAUGUU